GCCUACGGCCAUACCACCCUGAAAGCGCCCGAACUCGUCUGAUCUCGGAAGCUAAGCAGGGACGGGCUUGGUUAGUCCCUGGAUGGGAGACCGCCUGGGAAUACCAGGUGUUGUAGGCU
rnacentral:rRNA from 1 species